rnacentral:piRNA from 1 species
UCCUAAGAGCUUAGUGCCAAACGUAUCCU